GAGUGCUUACAGCUCUUUUUUUAAUUUGUCCAGCAGGUCUUCAGUUUUUACUGGAAGGCCCCC
rnacentral:snRNA from 1 species